UUCUCUCUCCCCACCUCACUCCCUCACUCCGGCCUCAAAUCGACCCCUUCCACUCCCUCCUCCCCCCCCAUCCGCUCCCCAACCACCUCACGGCAGCGCCUCAACUCCCUCCGCCCCGUCCGCACCUUCACCGCCGUCGAAACUCUCCCCAAAAUCGACACUGCCCUCGUCGAGAAAUCGAUCAACACAAUCCGUUUCCUCGCAAUCGACGCUGUCGAGAAGGCCAAUUCGGGUCACCCGGGUCUUCCCAUGAGUUGUGCUCCGAUGGGUCAUAUACUACACGAUGAGUUGAUGAAGUAUAAUCCGAAGAACCCUUACUGUUUCAAUCGCGAUCGCUUUGUUCUCUCGGCUGGACAUGGUUGUAUGCUUUAGUACGCUUUGCUUCACCUCGCUGGUUAUGACAGUGUCAAGGAUAAAAUUGCACACUAAAAAUGAGAAGAAUAUAAACUUGUCAUUUGCAUUAUCCGGAUUGAGUUCUGUUCCAUCAAAUCCCAAGAAUGGUCACUCCACCACCUAACAUCGAUGACUAUUCACCUUCGUCCACCAUCAUCACCUUUGACUGUCCGGUGCCUCUCCUACGAGGACCCCUCCCAGCUGGUUCAGCCGACGACCCGUCAGCUGGUCCAUUUGUCCUCGCUUUCAGAGAUGCCCAAUCUUGGACCUCUGCAUAUAAAGCCUGCGAAUCCAAACUCACAGAGCAAUGUGAGGCCGGAGCACGAAUUGGCUGUGCCAUCAGUGCGUCGAGCAAGUGCAAGCCCCCAUGGUGGAAAUCUCUCUUCAGCAGAGGCAAAACAGACUUUGCAGAUCGAGAAAAAUGCGAAGAGCGAGAAAUGGCGGUCUGUCUUGAGGCUUCAAAAGCAAGUUGUAGUAAAUUUGCCACAGACAAGUGUCUUCCAGUGUUCAGGGAUGCACGAAUUGCUUUGAAGGAUAGAAAGGUGAAUUGGAAAGAGGCUUCAAAGUUGAUCUUUUGGGCUUCGUUGCCAUUCUCGCCGUCAGAGAGGAGUGUGGGGUUUGAUUUAAUUGGAUUGGGUCAAUUGGGCACGUGGGUUGAGUUUGAAGAUCGAAUUGAAGUGACAAAUUAUAGAGGUAGUGAUCUAUUAGGUACUUUUACUGACUCUUGAACAUUUCUUGAGAUGGUGACAGUCACAUGAUUUCAGCCUCAAAAUAUUGACAAAUAAGUGAAAUUGUUUGGAGGGAUUGAUUCAGCAACAAUAGAGCAUAUCAUUAAGAAUUUCAGCUGGGUCUUUAAGCAUAAGUUCUAUUUGUUCGAAAAAUUGUGCGCUAAAGGUUUUCAACUAGUUUCUGAAGUGAUGUUUUGUGUUCGAUUUGUUAUUUGAAGAAUAGUUGAUUGAAACUUACUUCUGAAGCUUAAACUUGAAGUUGCAGUGUUGAAGGAAAGAUGAGAAAAGGUGCAAUGACUAUGACUAUGAAAGAUAUUUGUACACUGUUGUCUCCAACAAUGAACUGUGGUGUUAGCAACAUAUCUCGCACUAAGGUGGAAAAUGAUUUAUAAUGAAAAUUGAGAAAGUUUAUUACCGGGACUAGAUACAACAGCACGAGGACGCAGAAUGGAACUAGAGCUGAUAGGUAGUUUGGUAUCUUCUUGGAGCUCUCUGGUAUGUCUGCUGUUCUUCUUUGGCCCUGAUAUAUCAAGAUGCAUGCUUUGUCUUGAAUACAUAGCCACAAGUUCUUUUUAUAUAAAUAAAUAAAAUCAUGUUUGCAUUGGAGAUUUAACCUUUGGAGAGAGGAAACAAUGUCAUUGAUAAUUUUUGGACAUAAGGUUUUGGAAUUUUGUCACCUGAUGGCAGAGAGUCAUUCUGAUUUUCUUUCGCUGCAAAAGAUUAGAUGUUGUACAUGAAGAUGACAAGUACCCUUUGGAACCAGUAGUGGCAAAUGUGUCAAGAGGAUAUUGAUAAUGAACUUGAUGUAAUUGUUGCAAACAUUUUUCAUUUUUCCAGGAAAAGGAAAUUACCCAUUUUGUACCA